rnacentral:rRNA from 1 species
GACGAACGCUGGCGGCGUGCUUAACACAUGCAAGUCGAACGGAAAGGCCCCUUUGGGGGUACUCGAGUGGCGAACGGGUGAGUAACACGUGAGUAACCUGCCCUUGACUUCGGGAUAACUUCAGGAAACUGGGGCUAAUACCGGAUAGGAAUCCUUGCUGCAUGGUGGGGGGUGGAAAGCUUCGGCGGUUUUGGAUGGACUCGCGGCUUAUCAGCUUGUUGGUGGGGUAGUGGCUUACCAAGGCUUUGACGGGUAGCCGGCCUGAGAGGGCGACCGGCCACAUUGGGACUGGGAUACGGCCCAGACUCCUACGGGGGGCAACAGUGGGGAAUAUUGCACAAUGGGCGGAAGCCUGAUGCAGCAACGCCGCGUGCGGGAUGACGGCCUUCGGGUUGUAAACCGCUUUCAGCAGGGGCGAAGCUUGUGGUGACGGUACCUGCAGAAGAAGCACCGGCUAACUACGUG